UUCCGCCCGAGGGGAGGCUGUGGCGCGGCUCCGCGCCCCGCAAGGGCCUCCUCGGCCCGGGGCCCGCCUCGGGAGCGGGGCCCGGGGCCCCAGGGCUCCCAACCACCCUCCACGGGGAGGAGCGGGAGUCGAGGCCUGCCCAGCGUGUCUUCCCGCUCCCCCCAGGCUUGGGAGGCCUUGUCAUUCUAUUUCCUGCCGUAUUCUGGUUAUUUAUUUUAAUCUAUUAUUCUUUACAGAGAGGGGGUUAUACCUUGCAGGGCCCACGCUUGAGAGCACUUGGAUCCACCUCCAGCACCUCCCUCGAAGUGGAACGGAUUUAAAUGUUGCAGUAAUGGAUACUAAUGCUGGAGUCAGAAAUGUCAUGGCGUUUAUGGAAUUGUGAGUUGCUGAGGCAUGCUACUCUACCACGCCACUGUUGCACAAACCUCGGGAGCCCAAACACGAUGUCAGCGUCUGGACUUUCCAGAAGUCUGUGCCAGCUUUGCAGC